UCUUCCAAGAGACUCUCAGAUAAAUGUUUUAAGGAGUUCAAGCCCUAUUGGAACCAAGAUGAGAUCAUCAAAUAUGUCAAUCAGCAGCUCACAGUCGGUGACUAAGGGGAAAUGUAUUUGCUUCCCUCUGGUGUGUUGGAAUCCUGCUGGGGCUGGGAGAGAUUCUGGGGUCGAAGAGGAAGUGGAAGACUGCGGCCAGGAGCAGAAGGACCCUGCUUUGAAACUUUGCUCAACCAUGUGUGAGCUGGCAGACCCUGGGGAAGUCACUCUACCUGCUCUAGCUCCUCUGUAAAGAGUCAAAAUACUUCUCUCACAAAACACUUACGUGUUAGGAGGAGUAGUGGGUG
rnacentral:lncRNA from 1 species